UCCACCUCCUUUUUCGUAGAACGGGAAAAAGAAAUUCAUCUGCCUCUCAAUUUUAUUUUUUAAUCUAUUUUUUAGGGUUUGCUUGUGCAGAUUAGAAGUAAGAACCAUGUAUUCGAUCCACCACUUAUUGCUUCAACUUCAGUUCAAUCUUCAACGCCGCCCUUAAAUCUAAAUCCUUCAAUCUCAUACCCGAUGUUCGUCUUGGUUUGACCUCUAUCCACCGAUCGCCUCCCAUCGCAGCUCCACCUCCGGUAAUCGUCAUAGGCCAACAGCCUGCCGCCUGCCGCCUGACGACUGCCUUCUAUCUCAGCCUCCGCCUACCGCUGCUUACCUCCUUAUUAGACUCCUAAAGGACAUCGUUCACCGCCAAACCCGCCGCAACAACAGACCUCGAAUCCUCUGUCGCCGACUGCUUCAUUGUCUAUGCUACCGAAGCUGACUAGGUCAGCUUACCGUUCUAUAUGUUGUUUUCUCAUGGCUCAAUUGUUAGGCCUCAUGUGUCGGUUAGGGUUCAUUUUAUUGCUAAAUUGAACCCUUCUCCUUAUUACUUUGGGUUGGAUAGAGCUUCUGAAGAUCCUUACGACAGAGUGAAUAAUCCCAACGGUGUUGUUUAGCUUGGAUUGGCAGAAAAUCGGGUAUGAGAAGGGAGCUGACAUUUCAGGAGAGUAGAUCUUUAUGAUUAUAUUCUUGAGAAUCCAACCAUAUAUCGAUUUCAUGUUGCUCUCCACUUCAACAAAUUUGGUGGUGCUUUCAUUUAUGAUCUUAGUAGUACACAUGGAACAUUUAUAAACAAGAACCAGUAAUUAGGUGAAGAAAAAGGUGUAUAUGGAGCUCCAUGUUGGUGAUUUUCGUCGAUUUGGCCAUUCAACUAGGUUUUACAUAUUUCAAGGACCAACUGACUAAAUGCCUUCGGUAAGGCCCUUCAACUAUCUCAUUAACUUGAAGCCUAUUUUAAUUUCAUAUGAUGCCAUGGAAGUUCAUUAACUAUUUCUUGUUUGUUGUAAAAGGAAAAAGACUUACAAAGUGUUAAAGAUCUUAAAAUUUGACAAAAGAAGCAUAACAUGGAAGCUUCACUUCUAUAAGCAAAAAGAGAAGCACCACUUAUUUGAUUUUUUGAUAUUUUUCUUUUUAUAUAUUUUUACAAAAUAAUUAGUAAUUAAUUUAUAAAUUAAUUAUCCAUCUGUAACUAUCUAGCUUUUAGUAACAUGGUUAAAGAAAAUGAGGUUUUUAGGUUUUUAGGUUUUUUUUUUUUUUGAAUAAAAAGCAGAUGUAUAGAUUCUUUUAUGUCUAGUUUAGUUACAUUAUAUCUGGGAAAGUAAUAGAUCAUAGAGUAUUGAUAUUUACAUGUAAUAAAUAUUUUUGUUUUGUUUUAUGAGAUAAAUCUUAUUUGAUUUUUUGAUAUUUUUCUUUUUAUAUAUUUUUACAAAAUAAUUGGGAAUUAAUUUAUAAAUUAAUUAUCCAUCUGUAACUAUCUAGCUUUGCAACAAAAAUAUUCCUACAAAAUUGUGUAUGGAUUGCGCUAUGGAAACGUGGCAACAGAAUUUGUUACGGAAGCAUGUCUACGUAAAUUGCUAUGUAAUCUUUGA